ACUGUCCAAAUCAAAAUUACAAGGAAUUUUGUUAUAAUGAUAUUCAUACACAAGCGUCAUAGCAUUGGAAUGUUUAUCACGUGCGUGGGUGGAAAACGUCUGCAAUUACUAGUGGGGGUGGAGCUUCGGUCACAUGACACUGUACUUUAGCUUUCUGAAGUUGACCGUAGCGUUGAUCGUGUAAAACCCUGAAAAACCAUUUGUUGUAGGCUACCUAGUAGCUAUUAAAGGUCUUAACUAAGACUAUUAGAUAGUAGAGAACUUGUUUCCUGCUGCGCAAGACAGAGUGCAACCAAACAAGAAUGUUAGGAGGAGAUCUCAGGGACAAUUCAGGAUUUCAUCAGUAUAUGAUAUGUACAUCAGGAUUCCAAGGAUAUAACUAAGCUGGAACAAAUGGUUUUUUUAUAAUUUAGUUUUACAAGGAAAUUUCAUGUUAAUUGGUCACAUGAUAGUCACAUGAUCUUUUUUCAAUUAAGGAAACUUAAAUUAUUAUGACAAAACAAAAUGUGCAAUUACUAUGUUUAAUAUUGAAUACUUUUUGAUAUAAUAUUGUGACGUUG